GUGCAUAUCUGUUGCCGAAGCGCUCCGCUGGCUUAUCUCCGUCUCGACCCUCUGAAGUGUACACCCCAGCUCAGCCGUCAGAUUUUUUAUUGCUUUAAAUGGACGCACUUUUUUACGCCUUGACGUAAGGACGUCUCCGGACAGAGGUGGACUUGCGGAAGAGCGACGAGGCGUACCCGGGCGUCCCGGUGUGCUGAACGCUUCAGCGGUUCGCCCAGUGGAGCGAUCACCACGUUCGACGAUAAGAAAGACUUCUUCGAUGGCGUUAAACUACGGCGCGUACGGAGGAAUGAAAAGCGGCUCUAUUCCAACAGAAUCUGCAGAGACUCGAACGCAAGAAGAAUCGUGAAAUGUCACGUUGUCCAACGGAAGGUUGUCAGAAGACGUCAGAGAACCGUCUUCAGUGAUUCGACGAAUUCGUUGCUGCUCUUGUAUGUGUCUUGUCUAUGAGCGAAACUGAGGCCGCCAAAAGAAUCCACUGCAGCUCGAACAGUUGAUGACAUGCUCGUUCUCUACAAGUUCGUUCGUACACAGCACAGACGCCAUCUCCGAGGAUACCCAUAAACGCACCGACCGCCUCGUCCGAAGGAAGCCGCAUCGACUGGAAAAAAAACAAACCGACGUCCGUGGACGUCAUACUGAUCGCUGAGUUCCAGGAACGCUGCCAUUUUGGUGCCGGUGGAAGAUGCCCAUGCGUGGACCCGGACUCUCUUUAGCGACUGUACCCUAGAGUUUUCAGCACCACACGAACAAGCUGGUGGGAAACAGAGUCGCCCAUGGUGGCUACUAUCGUCGCUAUUUCCUUCCAGAACAGGUGAUCAACGGGUAGCUUUCUACCAUUGACCGCAUCCAGUCUUCGAGAAUAUCGGCUUUUGGCGCGGAGCGCGUAUUCUUGGUUCUUACAGAGUUCCUCAGCCAUCUGAGUCCUGUUGCAUAACUGACCUGAAGGAGGAAUGCAGACCUCCAUGCACUGUUCCUUCACGAGUAUAUUCCUGCAGGUAAUCCCUCUACGAUCUGUUCGGUUCAUUGGCUAGUCUUUUCGAUUUCCUGCUAUGGACUGUGAAAAUGCAUUCGAUUCAACGCAGCUGAGGUUAAACAAAUUCAAGUUGAAAGCCAAAUCAGCGAGGCCGCCGUUUCUCUCCGCUGGACAACGGUUAACGAAAUCUUUGGUCGGUCACAAACUGUGGAGACAGAGAUAAUAAGUUUACUGAGUAUAGCUUUGGCUUUUAGUAUGCUCUAGAGAUUCGAGUACCGGAUCAACUGCGAACCAUUAACCAUGGAAAACACACAGCUAGAAAACCGCUGUGCUGCUGUUUCAGUGCCGCUGGAUAUCGAGCUUCUGAAAGUAACGAUAGGCAAACUUGAGCAUGUGCUGGGAGCCUCAGAAGCCGCUGACUGUUUUCCUGGAGCGCUCGCGUUCGUUUUACGGCACUCGACUGGGGAGGCUGAGCAAGUAUCGGCGCGACUGCAGUCGCUAUGCUUACAGGUUGAGGCCCUCUUCCUACCUCAACUUCUUGAAGAGUAUUUCAAGUCCGAAACUGCUGACACUGAAGCACGAGGUGUGGAAAAGCCCCGUGUCAUGGACCCGUCACCAGAGCUCACAGAGAUCGUCAGCGCCCUAACAGAGACGAGAAGCCGCCUGGAAGCGUGGUCCCGCGACAGUUCUGCUUCGCUGACUCGCUUUACCAGCGUUAAACCUGAACUGCGUGAGCUCAUCUUACCCUAUCUAAAGCAG
rnacentral:misc_RNA from 1 species